rnacentral:rRNA from 1 species
CAAUAGCGUAUAUUAAAGUUGUUGCAGUUAAAAAGCUCGUAGUUGGAUUUGUGGCGGUUCCUGUGGUCCGAUUUCGGUACUUUCGGGGACUGCCAUCCUUGGGUGGAUCCUGUGUGGCAUUAGGUUGUCGUGCAGGGGAUGCCCAUCGUUUACUGUGAAAAAAUUAGAGUGUUCAAAGCAGGCUUACGCCGUUGAAUAUAUUAGCAUGGAAUAAUGAGAUAGGACCUUGGUACUAUUUUGUUGGUUUGCGCACCGAGGUAAUGAUUAAUAGGGACAGUUGUGGGUAUUCGUAUUCCAUUGUCAGAGGUGAGAUUCUUGGAUUUAUGGAAGACGAACGAAUGCGAAAGCAUUUACCAAGGAUGUUUNCAUUAA